rnacentral:rRNA from 1 species
UACGUAGGGCGCAGGCGUUGUCCGGAAUUAUUGGGCGUAAAGAGCUCGUAGGCGGUUUGUCGCGUCUGCUGUGAAAACCUAAGGCUCAACCUUGGGCUUGCAGUGGGUACGGGCAGACUAGAGUGCGGUAGGGGUGACUGGAAUUCCUGGUGUAGCGGUGGAAUGCGCAGAUAUCAGGAGGAACACCGAUGGCGAAGGCAGGUCACUGGGCCGCAACUGACGCUGAGGAGCGAAAGCAUGGGGAGCGAACAGG